rnacentral:rRNA from 1 species
GACGUAGGGUGCGAGCGUGUCCGGAUUUAUUGGGCGUAAAGAGCUCGUAGGCGGUUUGUCGCGUCUGCUGUGAAAUCCCGAGGCUCAACCUCGGGUCUGCAGUGGGUACGGGCAGACUGGAGUGCGGGUAGGGGAGAAUGAAUUCCUGGUGUAGCGGUGGAAUGCGCAGAUAUCAGGAGGAACACCGAUGGCGAAGGGCAGUUCUCUGGGCCGUAACUGACGCUGAGGAGCGAAAGCGUGGGGGAGCGAACAGG